GUGGGUAGCGAUAGCGAAGAGGUCACACCCGUUCCCAUACCGAACACGGAAGUUAAGCUCUUCAGCGCCGAUGGUAGUCGGGGGUUUCCCCCUGUGAGAGUAGGACGCCGCCAAGC
rnacentral:rRNA from 1 species